rnacentral:lncRNA from 1 species
GUUCAUCUUUUUAAUUAUCCUAUAAAUUCACUCGAAUUUUUUUCUAUUUAAUGCAAUAUCCAAUUAAAAAUAAUAUUCACUCGAGCAAAAAGAUUUCUGUAAUAGGCCAAUUUUGGCCUGGCUAUAUAUAUAAUAGCCUAUUACUAAACCCAGUUUUAAACCCAUUAACACCCUGACCCAAUAACCAAAUUACAAGCCCAAUAUCCAAACAGCCCAAAUACCUAACCCACUAGCCUAAAACACAAAAAAAUGAACAGCAGAAACCUUUGGCAAUUAGCAGCGGAUCGGCGUCACCCUCGCCCCCACGUUGCAGCAACCGUCUUCACGCACGAAUGCAUAGCAACUGCCCACGUCGUCUCACCCACGUCUGGUAGCUUCGCACGAUGCCCGUAACUACAACAAGCCAUGAACCACGAAUAGAAAUAAUAGCAGAAAUUACGACAAAAGGAGGAGAGUUUUUUCGAUAGUUUCUUUCUCCGUUGUUUCGGCUAUAUAAAGCCAAAUCAAAUCUGUAAAAGGGUUACACAUAUAUUGAAAAAUACUGAAAUACGAAAGAAAAGAAUCAGAAAAAACAAAUUUUUGAAGGUGAUUUGUUCUUUCCAAGUUUUUUACAGUUUUUAUUUUUUUUGUCUCAUAUUUCUUUUGUAUUUUACUUCAUUUUUUUGAAAAAAAAAACGAAAAGUAAAAGAAAGGGAGGAGAUUCUUACCAGCAGAGGCGCGCCGUCGGCAUCGUUUGCUUCGUUUUGUCCAAAUCGAAGUUAAAGGGGAGGGGGUUUUGGCGUGAAGAGUUGGGAAGGAGAUGAAACAGUUUUUGUCGCUGUUGCUGCUGCAGAAUAGCGUUUAAAUUUGAGAUUGAAAAGGGUUUUAAGCACUGAUGGGAUAUUUACGUUUUUAAUCCUUCCAUUUUAUCCCAUCAUUUCAAAA